rnacentral:rRNA from 1 species
GACGAACGCUGGCGGCGUGCUUAACACAUGCAAGUCGAACGAAGAGCGAUGGAAGCUUGCUUCUAUCAAUCUUAGUGGCGAACGUGUGAGUAACGCGUAAUCAACCUGCCCUUCAGAGGGGGACAACAGUUGGAAACGACUGCUAAUACCGCAUACGAUCUAAUCUCGGCAUCGAGGAUAGAUUAAAGUUGGCCUCUACAUGUAAGCUAUCACUGAAGGUGGGGAUUGCGUUUGAUUAGCUAGUUGGCGGGGUAACGGCCCACCAAGGCGAUGAUCAGUAGACGGUCUGAGAGGAUGAACGGCCACAUUGGGAAUGAGAAAAGGCCCAGAAUCCUACGGGAGGCAGCAGUGGGGAAUCUUCCGCAAUGGACGAAAGUCUGACGGAGAAACGCCGCGUGAGUGAUGACGGCCUUCGGGUUGUAAAGCUCUGUUAAUCGGGACGAAGGGCAUUCUUGCGAAUAGUGAGAAGGAUUGACGGUACCGGAAUAGAAAGCCACGGCUAACUACGUG